CUUCUCUUCGAUCAUAUUCAGUUGGUCGUAACGACUCUGAAUCCAUUCAGUAUCAUUCAACUUGGGGUUUGAGGGUGCUAUUUCUUUUAUUUUUUCUUUUGAUUUUUUUUUAUUUUGAUUUUGAUUUUGCUUUUUGCUUUUUGCUUUUUGCUUUUUGCUUUUCUUUCUUUUUUUGUAAUGCCCCAGUUUGACUGUUUUGCUGAUUCUCAAGAUACAACUGAAUGAUCUUCCUUUUGUGCUCAAGAAGACGGGUAAUCUCGUCAGGAAUCCCCUUCAACAUCGUCUUCCUCUGCUUUGAAUACAGGGAACCCAAAAUUGGGAGAUGGCG
rnacentral:lncRNA from 1 species